UGAGAGUGAUGCUGAGACAGUAUGGAGUCUCGGGCUGGAGAGGGAUGGAGCACCAGAUCCUAUAACCUAAAUUCUGUUCAGCACCAGGCACUGUGCCUGCUCCCUGCCCAGGACUACCCAUUUUACAGCUGAGGCUCAGGGUGUCCUGCUCAAGGGAGAACAGCUAGGAAGCAGUGAAGCUGAAUUUACGCCCAGCUCUGUCCCACCCCAGAGCCCAGCUUCUCACUCCUUCCCUACUGCCUUCAUCACCAUCUGACAUGUCUCCACGUAUGGGCUCUUAGACACCUGGCCUCAAGAUCGUUGGGAAGCAGAGGUUUCCUGCCUUCUGCCUGGAGUGUGAAGUCAGCGCUGGAACCUCAUCCCUCAUGGACACUCCCAGGCUGUGAGGCUGCACAUCUGGGAGGCUGGAAGAAAGAGGCCCACCACCAGUCGGGGUCACCUAACUGAGAGCAGAAGAGAUGCUGCCAACAUAUUGGCAUUUUAUCUAUCAGCUGAAGAACCCCAGCUCCGUGACCUGCAGAGAAUCCACAUUCUGGACUUUGCUGAUUGAAUAUUGAUGGCACCGUUCACCAUGUAUAUUUGUUCUUUGCCCUUCCUUCAAAUCGGUGGCUG